GUUUCUUUUACCCCUUCCCUCUGUCAUUCCCGAACCUCCCAUCCCCGGGCGCAAUAACGUAGUCGCACAGGCGCCGUCUAAGCGGUGCACCAUACGAACCCUGCAACAUCUGCAACUCCAUAUAGGCAUAGCAGAACUGCAAACGAGCACCCUUUAUCACCCACCCAUCACAUGAAAAUAUAUUCACACAAUUGCAGGGGACUAAACACCCCACAUAAAAGGCGCAUGAUGCU